AUGAGUGAUCAGACUCCACCUCAUGGUCCAAAUUCAUUAAGAACACCAGAUACCGCCGUUUCUAACAAGGAAAAUGUCAAUAAUAUCGACUCUGCCAUUGGGUCCUCCCAACUGACUAUGUUACCACCGCCACUUCAAUCCUACAGAGGCAGCAGUUCAUAUGAAGCAAAACAAGCACUUAAGGGGCGGAAGGGAAAUGCCCGCUAUGAGCAACAUAAGCAAGUCAUAUUGCAAAGCCUACGUGACAAACAGCGUCGAACCAAAUCGUCAACAGUAGUCCUUGCUACUGCAGAACAAAAUCAAUCCGAUAUAGCUGAUGAAGAUUGUGAUUGGCUACACACAAAUGAUAUGUACCAGAGACAAGACUUUGGAAGGAGGAUGCUGCCAGACAACAUACUCACUGCGCCGUCAUGUGGGCACAAUCCCGUCGACAAAUAUAAUGGAAAUGACCACGAAGAUGAUGCAUAUGGAAUACUGGAGCCCGAUGGCAACACAAACAACAUUGAUGGUUCACAUUAA
rnacentral:rRNA from 1 species